rnacentral:lncRNA from 1 species
GGCUCCCAUACCGGACGAGGUAUGGGGACGGCCCUAGAAUCAGGUUGUAAUGUUAAUGGUUCACGGGUAGCGGUGACCCCUUAUGGAUUCCCAUGGAUACUAGUAGGCUGGUAAAAGAGGAAAAUAUAUUGUUUAAUGAUUGAAAUGCAAAGGCAUGGUAAGUGUUAUGUUAUAAAGUUUAUAUGAUUUCAUGAUGAUGAUAAUGUUAUUGCUUUCAUAUGUUGUUUUCAUGGAUCUCACCGAGGUAAGUGGACAGUAAA